GGAAGUGUGAGGUUUUCAAAAGGAAAACAGACUCAUUUGAGGCUUACUUAUGAAAUAAAUCUUAGUGUCAGAGCACGAAGUAUUGGCUGUAGACCGAGACUGGAGAGAAAAUAUUGCACUGAACAUACACCCUGAGGGAUCUGUGAUCAGUGACUGUGACUCGCG